GGUGAAGGAACUAGGCAAAAUGGUACCGUAACUUCGGGAGAAGGUACGCUCUUGAUGGUGAAGUCCCUCGCGGAUGGAGCUGACGAGAGUCGCAGAUACCAGGUGGCUGCAACUGUUUAUUAAAAACACAGCACUGUGCAAAAUCGCAAGAUGACGUAUACGGUGUGACGCCUGCCCGGUGCCGGAAGGUUAAUUGAUGGGGUUAGCGCAAGCGAAGCUCUUGAUCGAAGCCCCGGUAAACGGCGGCCGUAACUAUAACGGUCCUAAGGUAGCGAAAUUCCUUGUCGGGUAAGUUCCGACCUGCACGAAUGGCGUAAUGAUGGCCACGCUGUCUCCACCCGAGACUCAGUGAAAUUGAAAUCGCUGUGAAGAUGCAGUGUACCCGCGGCUAGACGGAAAGACCCCGUGAACCUUUACUACAGCUUGGCACUGAACAUUGAACCUACAUGUGUAGGAUAGGUGGGAGGCUAUGAAGACGUGACGCCAGUUGCGUUGGAGCCGUCCUUGAAAUACCACCCUUGUAUGUUUGAUGUUCUAACUUAGACCCGUUAUCCGGGUUGAGGACAGUGCCUGGUGGGUAGUUUGACUGGGGCGGUCUCCUCCCAAAGAGUAACGGAGGAGCACAAAGGUGGGCUAAUCACGGUUGGACAUCGUGAGGUUAGUGCAAUGGCAUAAGCCCGCUUAACUGCGAGAAUGACGGUUCGAGCAGGUGCGAAAGCAGGUCAUAGUGAUCCGGUGGUUCUGUAUGGAAGGGCCAUCGCUCAACGGAUAAAAGGUACUCCGGGGAUAACAGGCUGAUACCGCCCAAGAGUUCAUAUCGACGGCGGUGUUUGGCACCUCGAUGUCGGCUCAUCACAUCCUGGGGCUGAAGUCGGUCCCAAGGGUAUGGCUGUUCGCCAUUUAAAGUGGUACGCGAGCUGGGUUUAGAACGUCGUGAGACAGUUCGGUCCCUAUCUGCCGUGGGCGUUGGAAGAUUGAAGGGGGCUGCUCCUAGUACGAGAGGACCGGAGUGGACGAACCUCUGGUGUUCGGGUUGUGUCGCCAGACGCAUUGCCCGGUAGCUAAGUUCGGAAUUGAUAAGCGCUGAAAGCAUCUAAGCGCGAAGCGAGCCCUGAGAUGAGUCUUCCCUGACAGUUUAACUGUCCUAAAGGGUUGUUCGAGACUAGAACGUUGAUAGGCAGGGUGUGUAAGCGUUGUGAGGCGUUGAGCUAACCUGUACUAAUUGCCCGUGAGGCUUAACCA
rnacentral:rRNA from 2 species